UGUAGAUGAGGACAUGAGGUAGUGUUUCAAAAGCUUCAUCACGGCACAGAUAUUGAUGUACUUCUGAAAAUGUACUUGUUUGAAUUAUAUGUAUCAUAUUUUGUUGACUACACUUUCUAGUAUCUUCGUACAACAGUUAAAUAAAUCUACUGGAAAUCUAUAGUGGACGGUAUGCUACAAAAAUGGUGAGAAAUGAAUUUCUUUCUCGGUAAGUAACUUUGUUUUCCAGUGUGCAGCCAGGCUAUUGGGUUUGGAGGGUUGAUUCAACUUAUAGAAGGGGCCGUAUGCACCAAAGAGUAGUAGAGAUGGAGAUGCUCGUGGGGUCUGCGAAGCUAUGGAGGCAGGUGAAGGUGUCAUAUGCAUGUUUGCAUCUUCUCUUCUCAUGAAUCUUAUAUGGAGAAAUAUAAUUCAGGAAACAACUAUGUAAGUGGAGCAAUAUCAGUUUUCACUAAAUAUGAUCCACCAACUAUAUCAAGGCACUGUAAUUUGAACCAUUCAAAUUAUGUUAAAUGUGGUAAAUAGCCGAAUUUUCUUGAAAAACAUUGCCGUUAUUUUCUAAAACAUUGCCGAGCGUGGCAACGCGCCCCUUUAUGUCCUACUAUCUAAAAUCUUCUUACGAGUACUUUGGUUAGGUACUAGCAAGCAUGCGCGUCCACACACGCACGUACAACACAACACACAUGCUCUGCUCCUGAUUUGUCAAUAGUAUGCUGAUGCUUUGCUUUGAUCUGCUCUACCACUCUGAAAUUUUUGCAAUGGGGGCCACUUACUUUGCAUGUGCUUGCUCAUGCAGUGACCUGAUUGAUAGUUGUCUCUCUUCAACUAAUGUCCAGAUACAACAAGUUAGUCUUGAUUUGUACAGGAGCCAAGUAGAAUUGUCUGAACUCUUAUUUUGGGUUUUUACUUACCACACAUCUGCCACGUGGUGACUGUCAGAACUCUAAAUGCAAUAGCGCAACAGUUUACUACUAUGUGAGAUUAAAUGGGAUUAUGUGGGAAGUAGACGCAACAAUGUUGAUUGUGGGUUGCCUAUGAACACCCACAUAACAGAUGCGUGCAGAUGUGGGCAUCCUGCUAUUAGUCCCGCUUGUAGCUUGAAUGUGUAUCCCUAACAAAGUGAAGGGUCAUGACAAUCUUCCUGAACUAUGACCAUGUGUAUCCAUUGACCUAUUUUUCAUGCAAAUUCUACUAUCAUUAUAUAGGUUGCUUCCAAAGUAGUUUCAAAGACUUCAACAUAUCCAAACAAGUGGAAUGUUGCAUAUGCUACUAUUCGGUGCACUGAUCCAGAAACUAGGGCUGGUGAUAUUGAGUUAGGUACCGACUUUGCAUGUGUGUGCAUAGAUGAAACUAUUCUGGAUAAUGAGGUGUUGGGAAAGUUGAAGUUUCUGAUUGGUGAUGCUUUUUCUUGAGGAUACUUAAUCGCCUCGCCUCGAGCUUUUGUAAGUCAAAAGUCUUCACCUAACUAUAAGAUCCAAUUUUCUUUUGCAUAUUUCAAAAUAAUAUUUGUGUAUAUUUAAUCACAUAACUAUAAGAUCCAAUUUUCUUUUGCAGAUUAAAAAGAAGGAUAAUUGAGUUGCAGCUGAAUUCUUUGGUUGGAUCAAGAAGCAAAUAAAAUUAGAGAAAUGUACUUUGCAAUAACCGUAGUUUCUGUUGAUAGAUGAAAAAAAAUGUAAUAUCAUACACGAGAUCUUUUUCUUUGUCAGCCUCUUACAGAAAUGUAGGGAAAGGCUGCGUACUAUAGACCCAAAGUGGUCGGACCCUUCCCUGGACCCUGCGCAAGCGGGAGCUACAUGCACCAGGUUGCCCUUUUAGAAUUGAUGCAAAUGCUAUGUUGUAAUAUUAUCUGGAGAUAUGUUCUUUGUAGUCAAAUUAAUAUGAAUGAUAUGUUGCACCAAUAAUAUUGGUAUUUGUUUAUUGUAAUGCAUAUGUAUCCAACACUGUUGUAUAUUCAUCAUAAAUAUCUUGAUAUUUUCAGUUUGUGUA
rnacentral:lncRNA from 1 species